AGGGGGAGAGAUAGAGAUAGAGAGCAGUAAGAUGAUAGAUGACCGGGUAUGAAUGGUGAUGAUGCCAAAUGAUGAAAUAGUCUCGCAUGUGGGGAGGGGAGGAGUGGGGAGGAGAGAGGGAGGGGAGGGGAGGAAGGGGGUGGGGAGGUAAGGUGGAAAGUGGAAAAUUAUUAGGGAACUGUGUUAGAUAAAUGAAAAGGAAGGGAAGAAGAAAAUAGGAAGAGAGGGGAGAGAGGCUGCUUGGGGAGGAGUGGGGAGGAGAGAGGGAGGGGAGGGGAGGAAGGGGAUGGGGAGGUAAGGUGGAAAGUGGAAAAUUAUUAGGGAACUGUGUUAGAUAAAUGAAAAGGAAGGGAAGAAGAAAAUAGGAAGAGAGGGGAGAGAGGCUGCUUGGGGAGGGAGGAAGGGAGCAGAGGAAAAGGGAGGGGGUAGGGUAAGAGAAGAGGAAAAGGAAGAGGAAGAGGAAAAGGAAUGGUACAAAGGGGAGAUGUUGGUUGGGAAAGGAGGAGAAGUGGGAAAAAUUACAACACCGUCGAGAGAAAUAAAGAAAGAAAUAAAGAGAAGGGAAAAUAGAGAGUAAGGAAGGAGAGAGGCUGGAUGUGGAGGGAGGGAAGAAGAGAGGAGGAAGAAGAAGGUAGAGAAGAAGUAAGAGGAAGAAGGAAAGAAGAAAGGAAGAAGAUGAGGAGUAUAUGGAGGAGGAAGAAGAAGGUAAUGAGAAGUAAGAGGAAGGAAGGAAGAAGAGUGGAAGAAGAUAAAAAGAAAGUGGAGGAGGAAGAAGAAGGUAAUGAGAAGUGAGAGGAAGAAGGGAAGAAGAAGGGAGGAAGAAGAUAAAGCAAAUGGAGGAGGAAGAAGAAGGUAAUGAGAAGAAAAGAGGAAGAAGGGAAGAAGGAGAUAAAGCAAAUGGAGGAGGAAGAAGAAGAUAGAGAGGAGGCGAAGUGGAAAUAAGGAAGGUGAUUAACUGGAUAAUGAUGGGAGGAAAGAGGGGAAGAUGAGGUGACUAUGAAAACGAAAUGAGGGAAGAAGAAGGAGGAGGAAGAGGAAGAAGAGGAAGAGAGAGAGUAAAGAGGAAUGAAAGAGUAAAUGAUGAAGAAACAGAGAGUAAAGGAGAAACAGAGGAGAGGAACGUGAAAGAGUAAGAAGGAAGAGAAAAAGUAAAGAGAGAGAGAGAGAGAGAGAGAGAGAGAGAGAGAGAGAGAGAGAGAGAGAGAGAGAGAGAGAGAGAGA